GAGGCCCUUCUGCUCAAGAGCACCUCGGCAGAAGUCAAGAGGGCAAAGUGGCGCGGCGCUCGUUUCUCGCCGAAGCCGCGCUGCAGCGUUUGCCGUCUUAUCGCUCUGUGGCAUAUUUAAAACGGAAUCCCGUCUUGUUGUUGUGUAAAACACUGGCUUUGAUGCCAUUUUUUUAAUCUUGCCGUCACAAUUAGCGGGUUUAUCUGCCGGAGCCUGUUGGCGGCUGCUGUCUGCUGCAGAGAUAUGAGCCAGCGUGCUCUCGCUGCCAGGGCUCAUGCCUCCGCGAUCCCGUUGGUUGGAGAGCUUUGACCUGUCUGAGGAGGAAUCCUGCAGCUCACAGUCGAUUAUCCCAAGUUGUUCCGGAUGAUUCCGGACAGCACGUCCCAGAUUAUGUCCCCCUUGUUUUCCUGCCGCGACUCUAAUGCAACGUGGCAGUGUCAGCGACAUUGCUUCCUUCAGCAAAAAGAGUGAUGACUUGCGAUAUGUAUCUCCAACUUGGAGCCUUCGCGGCGCACGCUGGCUGCUACAAAGGAGAGCCAGCGAUCUGAUUUACUGUAUUAAACAACAGCUCCGCCAAAACUGCUGCUGUCAUUUUUUGUUGUUUUUUUUGCUGAAGCUUCUACAAAUUACUGCCGCAACUUAAAACAACAAACACAAGAGAGGGGCGACAGUUGAACAGGAUUGAAUCAGCAAAGCAUUUACAAGCUAAACUCAGCUGCCAUCCGUCAAGCUGCUUAUAAUUACACCUGAAUAUUUGGAUAAUUAAUCCCUCAUUUGCAUGUAAUGACUCUUUGUAACCAGCUAUCAAUCAGGGGCUGUCCCCCUUUAAAUGAAUGGCCCGUCUUGCAUCUUUCGGAGAUAACGAGAUUAAAACAUUAGCAGUCACACGGCGUUACGCCCUUUGUUAAUAUUUGCUUGCAGUGAGCUCGGGGAAUACGUGGUGGUCCUUUGUUGCCAUUUUUUUUGCUGUUCACCCACUUUUUGUGUAUGCACAUAUUGAUGAAGCUGAGCAUGCUUUGUGCAGAGUUUCGGGCAGAGCUCCAUAUUUUCCCUGUGGAUGCCCUCUGGAUUUGCUGGGUUGCGUUCGGAGGCCCAUCAGUCAAGGAGACGGGUGCGCGUGCUGUACAGCGGAUGCGGUCCAGCGUGCGCGUACGAGAGCGUGUGCCCGCGUUCCAGAGCGCCACCAAAUCCACGGGCGCGUUGAGCCGACGAGGAUCUGUUCUGAGAUGGCAUCAGCCGCCAUUAGCAUAGGAUUACCACAUCUUACCAUGCAGUAAACACAGCCGAGUUACCUGACCACGACUAACGCCGUCGCACUCCGGGCCGCGGCUACUUGAAUUCUUAUUUGCAUGAGGCCGCUGAGAGGCUGCGGCGACGGGACGCCGCACGCGUCUCACUCAUUAAGCUCGGCGCGCCGCUCAUCACCAGGAGUGGGCACCAGCGUCCUGUAAACAGACGGCGGCGGGUCUGAAGGUCUGAAGUCAGAGAGGGUGCAAGUGUCCUCGAAGAAAUGCACCAACGAUAUAGAGUCAAAUGAGACUCCAUAUCUGAGCAACUUAAAAUAGCUUCGUUGUGGAAUCUGCAGCACAGUGGGUCCAUUCAUUUAAAAUGAGCUCGAAUCUAAAAGUGAAUACAUGAACACAGCUAAUGAUGAUAUCAGGUUUAACAACACUGCUUUUUUUGGCUCGGUGCCUCUGGUUAACUUUUAUUUCUGUUCAUGUCGUGGCCUUUGCUGUUUUUAUUGUGAUUGUUUGUACUUUUCUGGAAUAAUCUGCCUCCCAUUGAUUCCAUGAACGUGAACUCGCUGUAGCGCCCUUUAGUGAGCGUCUCCGCUCACAUUACUCCCUUCCACACACACACCUGCAUGGCACCGCGGCUAUAAUUAGGAGUGCGCCUCUACAUUGUUGGGCGACCUCUGUCAGCGCAGUGUGACUCUUUUUUAGCGUAAUCUAGAGGAGCGCUGUGGUAUUUAUGAAGAUGCAGCGAUCGCCUUGGGCAGCGUUUAUGCCUCAUUGGUGCAGCAAUCAGGCUGCCGUGUUCCUAACGCCGCAGCAGGUGAGAUAUGUUAAAAAUAAAAAGAUUUUAAUAUCCGUGCUAGUCAUUAGGACUUCAUUUUUAAUAUUCAACGUCUCCCGCUGGUGUUGUCACAUAUUCGGGAUAACUGUGAACAUUCGAGUUCACACUGUUAAUUAAGCAGAGCUGAGUCGCACGCGUGUGUGUUUAGCAGCCUUUUUUAUUGGAGGGGAAUGUUUGUGUUGCGUGUGAUGGACUGGAGCGGCGACUGGCACCGUGUAAACACGGGCUGAAAAGACGCGUUGGGUGGCGGCGGGUUUGUGUCAGACUCACCUUCCACCUGUGGGGGGACAUUGAGAUUUCUGUCAGAGAAUGAUCCAUCAAAGACAAGACGCUUUGAAGCCUUAACUGUCACAUGCUUUCAUUUGCAUCUGCAGUUAAUUUCACGCAAGGCUUGAUGCCACAAUGUAUGUAUAAUAAACAACGUGUUCAAAAAUGAACUGCACAUGGGAAAUCUUAUUAAAUAAUUGCAAGAUAUAUUAAGCAGAAGUAAUCGGGAGUAAAUGAGUCAUCACUCUUAAUGACACCAUUGAUCUUCCUUCAGCUUGCAUCAAUGUCAACAACGCUACACAUUGGAUUUCACUUUGUAUUUUAUUCAUGGUACUUCUUCGCCUGCUUUUACAGACACUGCGAUUUGCACCAUGAAGAUCAUUGAUUGUCAGCUCAGAGCUUGCCGUCGUUGAUCAUCGCAGGCCUCAGUGGCAGACGGUGCGGCCGCUGCCGUAGCUCCGUGAUGAAACAAGGAUGAUGCAAAAACGUUAGCGGCGGCGGCCGUCGGAGGGGCUCCUCCCUUGGCCCCCGUUGUUUGCCUCGUCUACAGAUGUUGUUUAAGGCUCAGGCAGAUGUUGGGACCUCGUCGGGAACGCCGGUGCAUCCGAGGUGUCACAUCAAAGCUCGUCUCAUUAACGAGCAAGCGGGAGGAAUGCUCAUCCAGAUGUGAAGUGCCUCCAAAAAGUAAAGAGAACCCUGUCAAAGGGUUUGACAGUGUGUAAAUAAAAGCCAAAAAAAGCGAGGUGAGAGAUUAAAACAUCAAAUCUGUUCAAAGAGAAAUUAUGAGCUUUGGUUUGUGAUUCGCCAAUCCUGUCUACAGCCUCUUUAUUUCAGAUAACAGCCCUUCACCUCUUUACCAUUUUCCUCACUAUUGAUAUAAAUCACAAUGAAGUAUUUCAAUGUUUGAUAACUUCAAUUAUGCACGGGCAUUAUCUUGGCCUUUUUAGGCAUGCAGAAUCAAUGCUUAUGGCAGAGCACCCUGUCUCAGAUGUGUUAUUCAGCCUGUAUGAGAGCAGACACUUGGGGAAGAGCCAGGGGAGGAAGAUGAAAGUGAGAGGUAUCGCUAACAUCCACCCCAGACAGUUGUUCAUGAAUAUCAAAGAACAGCUGUGAAUGGAGGCAGGUUCUCAUCAUUUUUACUCAUUAUGUUAAGAUAGUGAAACACAUUGCAAUUAAAUGCGCUCUUACCCCCCUAAAGUUUGUGGCCACCGUCUAUUUGCCGCCAUUACGUUUAAUUAAUUGAUCCACUGAUUGAUGCAAAGAAGAUCAAUAGAAUCAGAAUCACAAGAGAAGGUGCUUUAUUUCCUGCGGUGACUUGUUCUCCUGUUUUUAACAUACGCGUAAAGGACGUUUUCGAGCUUUCACUCUUCUGCAGCUUCUGCUCCCUCCUUUUAGUCAAACACACAAAAAAAAGCCAUGAAGAAGCCUCUCUCCUCAACACCUCAGCCACUGCUCCCUCCCUCUUGUCCUUUGCUCUCGCGGGGUAUUGCCUUGGCAACGCAUGAGGAAACAAGUGGUGCUCUUAAAGACUCAGACAUUAGGGUCAACACUAAUCUGGGGGGGGUGAUAAACAGUCUGAACCAGAGCCAAAAUCACUCCAGACAAGGCAACAUGAGACACGGUGGCCCGGUUGCCAAGACGGAUGGAGGCUCGUUUAAAUUAAGAGAGGCAUGAUUCAUGGACAGGGUUUUUUUAAUGGAACACAUAAAAAAGUCUUUCUUACACACACAUGCCCCCCCCCCAUCUCAUCUCUCUGACCACACAGAUGAGAAGCAGCGUAGCGGCCGUCGCUAACGCUCCUGUAACCUCCCGUUCGCCGCGCGCUGCUCCUCUUAGUUACUGUUGCCAGCCUGUCAAGCCUCCCGCAUGCGCCGCAUGUAGAUAAAAGGCAACCGACGACAAAGACGUUGGAUUCGCGGCGCUGCUGUAGCUGGUCGACCCCAGACGACUCGGCACAAAGAUGCACGCGCUGAAUGGUCCAGGGCUGAACAGUGAACACAUGCUUUUUUUUUAUUUCAGCCCCACUUAAACAUAAAGCUAUGAAAGCUGUUGCAUUUGAAAGCAGCCUCACAUUACGGCUGCGUGUACAGUAAUCAGCCCAUUAGCCAGACGGGCUAGCGGCUGUUUAUACUGGAGCCAUGCACCGAGCCACCGCUUACAUCUUACAUCAACUGACAAACAAACCAACUGCACACAUGCUAAUCACUCUCAUUAGAGCUCAGCAAACACGCUCAGGUGCUGGUUGAGUCCAAUUAUUGCUGAUCUUUUAAUAACUAGAAGUACAAUUAUUGCUUCUUUUUUUAAAAAAUGUUGAGUUAAUUCUUUAGCAAGGAAACGCGAACCGUGAUUAAGUUGUUAAUUGUGUAAAUGGAUUUUAUUCUCAUUUUGGCUGCAAAAAGGAAAGUAGGACAAUUUGCACCAUGUAGGUAAUUUUUUGAAAAGUUUCUUUUUUCUAUUUUUCGGCUUUUGGUUUAAUUUUUUACAACACCCCAUUAUUUUGUUAUCUAAAGGUAAUUUUCCACCACUGGACUUCUUAGUUAUGAUAACAACAGGGAAAGGUCGCGCUAAUGAAGGUAAUUGUAACUCAUGCCCUUUGUUAGAGUAUUUCUGAGUCACUGGUUGCUUUUCAGCUUCGUCCGCCUUGUUAGGUGUUAUUUUCUCAUUUUGAGCCUGAAUACAAUUUGAUGUAAAUGUCACUUCCAAAUGCACGUUACACAAUAGAGACAGAGAAAUGGACAAAAAGUGGCCAAAAAAGAUGUUCCCGACCCGACGUCGCAGCGCGUAUAUGCUGUUUAUGAAGCUUAAUUAAGCGAAGCUCCUCCAGGAAAGUCUGUCACCUGGACCCUGCUGUGCCGACUGGGGGGGGGGGGGUUGUGGCUGCGUCCCUGUGAAGGGCAUCAGCUAUGACAGCCGUGCUACUUGUGUGCAUUCAGUGGAUUAUUUGUGGGCACGGCGGCCGGAGACAACACACGUGUGUGCAAACAAACGCUCACACGAAGCGGCACCUCCAUUAAACUCGCCGUCGCCAUUCCUCGUACUUAGCGCACGCAGCGUUUCUGUGCUUCACAAAGCAAGGGCUGUUUUUCAUUCCCACAUUUAUAAUGCAGACGUACGAACUCAGGAAGUGCAUUAAGAUGAGUGAUUUCCACAUUUCCUCCGUUUCCAUUACCUCAUAAUGGGGCUCUGCGGGUUUUUAACAUUUUUGAAUUACAGUACGGGGCGAGACAGUCGGGACUGGUCUUACUCUGCCUGUCCAUUAUCUGCUACGGAGCCAAAAGCUGCAGGUGCUAAUGGCCGUCUUCUUCUUCACAAGCCGCCCCGUGCCAACUUCCAACGCUCUGCACUCACAGUCCGGGGCCAACUGUUCGUGCACACGCGCGGUCCGCCUGGGUGUCGCUGUGAAGCCAUCAAAGAUCGCUUUCAGUCACCGGGAGCGACGGAGAGACAAGGUUAUAUUAUAUUAAUGAAGUAAUGACAAAAAGCCCCCGGGUUGAGGACAGAGGCACGUUUCCGCCAGACAAAGCGCCCGGCAUCGCGUGCGGCACAAAAGGAGCCGUAGGUGAUGCAUGGAGGACCUUUACGGCUGCUGCUGCUGCUGCUGCUGCAUGUAGAUCCUUGUGCAGACGGAAGCGGCGACAUAAGCCGGGCUCAAGUGUCAGUUAAUAUGUUUGCUACCUGCAGGACUCGGUUCUUAACAACUACUACCUAACAUCAAAAUUUCCAUUAGUGAGAACCAAUUUCCUCCCAAAAUAUAAAAAAACCUCCCCGUCCCUUGGGGUGCACUUCAGCUCUAUAUUAAAGCACUGCAAAACAGUGCCUAAUUUGAUUUUUAUGCACAAUUCCCAGUCUGUGCAUUCUAGCCAUGAUGUUAUGUACGAGAGGAGUGAGCAUCAGCAGGAUUUAUGCUUUGCUGGUGGUGGAGCCAGUCUAAAGAGGAGGAGGAGGAGGGAAAUAUAUAUGCCUUAUGUGUCCAGCUAAGAUUUAAUGAAGCAGCCUGAAUAAUGAUAAAGGAAGAGAGUGAAUGAAAAUGCCCCCCUACAUGAACCAUGAGUGGUCGUUCAGUGGUCUGAAGAGCAUAGUAAUAAUGGCCAGUGGAGGAGCUAGUUUCAUAAGUAGCUGGAAAAACCAAUUGAUGAUUCAUGGCAGAUUUGGGGGAAAUGUCAGAAAUAAUAAAUUCCACCUUUAAAGAGACCCGGGCGAAAAGUCACAUCUGUUAUGAUAAAUAUAAUAAGCUUCAUUUUAAAAAUGACCACUGACACCAGCAAAUCUUGAUGCCUGCGCGUGUGUUAUUUCUCUCUUUCUUUUUUUUUUUUUUAUUCAGCGCCCUCUUAUAUU